UAUGAACAUGAGUGUACAGAUACCUCUUUGAGAUCCUACUUCCAGUUCUUUUGUGUAUGUAUCCAGAAGUGGAAUUGCUGGAUCAUACAGUUAUUGUUUUUAAUUUUUAAUUUUUUUUCUAUUUUGGCUGCACCUGCAGCAUGUAGAAGUUCCUGGGCCAGAGAUUGAACCCAUGCCACAACAGGAACCCAAGCCACAGCAGUGACAAUGCUGGGUCCUUAACCUACCACACAACAAGAGAACUCCUUAAUUUUUAAUUUUUUGAGGAACUGCUGUACUGUUUUCCAUAGCAGAUAUACUAUAUUAUAUUCUCACCAACUGUGUACAGGGGUCCAGUUUCUGCACAUCCUCACCAACACUCGUUUUCUAUUUUUUGAUAGUGGCCAUCUAGAUAGGUGUGAGGUGGUAUCUCAUUGUAUUUCUUAUUUGCAUUUCACUAGUGAUUAGUGAUGUUGAGCAUCUUUUCUUGUGCUUAUAGGUCAUUUGUAUAUCUUUUUUGGAGUGAUGUCCAUUCAAGUCCUAUUUUCAUUUUUGAAUUGGAUUUUUUUUUUGUCAUUGAGUUUUAGUUCUUCCCAUAUUUUUUUGGAUGUUAAUCCCUAUCAGAUUUUUGAAUCUCUUUCAGAUUUUGGAUUUGCAAAUUUUUUUCUCUUUCAUGGGUAGCAUACUUUGACUCUAUGGCUUGUGUCUUUUUUUCAGCCGCUCCUGUGGCAUGUAGAAGUUCCUGGGCCAGGGAUCGAGCCUGAGCCAUAGCAAUGACCAAAGCUGUUGCAGUGACAUUGCCAGAUCCUUAACUCACUGUAUCACAAGAGAACUCCAGGUUGUGUCUUUUUUUCUUUCUUUUUUUUUUUUCUUUUUUUAGGGCCGUACCUGUGGCAUGUGGAGGUUCCCAUGCUAAGGGUUGAAUAGGAGCUGUAGCCGCCAGCCUAUACCACAGCCACAGCAAUGAGUUAUCUGCGACCUACACCACAGCUCAUGGCAAUACUGGGAUCCCCGACCCACUGAGUGAGGCCAGGGAUAGGACCCACGUCCUCGUGGAUACCAGUCAGAUUUGAUGCCACUGUGCCGCAAUGGGAACUCCCCAGGUUGUGUCUUUUGAUGCACAGAAUUUAAAAAUUUUUAUGAAGUCUCAUUUGUUUUUCUUUUGUACCUUUGGUGUCAUAGCCAAGAAAUAAUAGCCAAAUACAAUAUUGUGCAAUUUUUGCCUUAUAUUUUAAGAUUUUUAUAGUUUUAUGGCCUAUGUUGCAAGUCAGUUGAUCUAAUUAAAAAAAGAUUAUUAAUUUUAUUGUGAUUCAUUAUGUGUGUUGGUUACUUUGGGAGAAGUUAAUUUGUUAUGAUUUUGUGUCGUUAUUCCAGAACCUUUCAUUUUUUCCUUUUUUUAAACCCUAUAUUUUUCUUCUUUUUAAAAAAAGGGUGGGGGAAAAAACUGUAACUGCAAUGUAUACAUCUAAGGAUGACCUGACCCCCUUGCUGUACAGUGGGAAAAUAAAAAAAAA
rnacentral:lncRNA from 1 species